CGCCAGCGGGGAGGGGAGCGCGCGGCUCAGGGUAAGGCCGGGGGCAGCCUCGCCUUCCGCUGGGUGGGAAGAACUCGCGGGCUGGACCUGAGGGAGGGGGCGCCGCAGCGCGACCACCUGGAGCCAGGCCUGUGGGCAGGGGGCUGCCGGCCGGUCCUCAGCUCGCCAAGGCCCAUCUGGCACGUCUGCGCCGGUGCCCGGCCCCAGUCCCGCCGAGCCCCAGGGCUUACCCUGCAGGGGACCGGCCAGCGACCUGCCAGAAGGCUGGUUACCCUGGCCCCUUGCCCCACGCGGGGCGGGGGCAGCCUCAGCGCGGCUUCGGCACGUGUACCUGCCCGCCCUCCCGCGUGCCUUUGCCAGCCUGGCAAAGCACCACCCAGGGACCCACUAAGGACUUCCUCGCCACCGCAAGGUGCACACCCAGGCUCCCCAGAACUGGAGCUGGGCGUUUCCCCGGCCACUGGGGCUCCUCCUGCGACCGACCCCACGAGCCAGAGGAGGCUGAUGGCGCUGGUUGGGGGCCCGGGUCCGGAGGGUCAGGGGGAGGCGGAGGUUCGGCUCCGGAGCGGGGCUGGGAAAGUCUGGCCCCGAGACCCCCCAGAACCGGGGGGAGCACCUCCUGGGACCGCUGUGGGGGACGGGAACACGGAGGGGAAGGUGGGGACGGCUGGGGCGGGCGGGUCACCAGCCCAGCAGGUAGCAGGCGGCCUGCAAGCAGCCGAGAGGAGCCCAGACAAGGCCCGUGCGGCCUCUCGGGCCUGAGCUGUGAGGGGCGCCCGGCCCAGGGGCAGGAGCCGUCAGCAGCACCGGCCAGGCCGGCAGGGGCCGCGCUGGCGCCCAGGCAGGGGGCACAGGGAGCGGGCACAAGCGGCCGGAGGACGUCGGGAGGAAGGAGGAGGACCAUCGGUCCCCGCAGGCGGCCGGCCCCGAGUAGCUGGAGCAGCUGGCUCGGAAGGUGCCGUCGAGGCCUUGGGGAGGGAGGCUGUCGUCGCCGUCUUGGCGGCGCGUCCGUGG
rnacentral:lncRNA from 1 species